rnacentral:rRNA from 1 species
CAGUAGGGAAUCUUCCACAAUGGGCGCAAGCCUGAUGGAGCAACACCGCGUGAGUGAAGAAGGGUUUCGGCUCGUAAAGCUCUGUUGUUAAAGAAGAACACGUAUGAGAGUAACUGUUCAUACGUUGACGGUAUUUAACCAGAAAGUCACGGCUAACUACGUGCCUG